UACGGGGGGAGCAAGCGUUGUUCGGAUUUACUGGGCGUAAAGGGCGCGUAGGCGGCCACCGCAAGUCGACUGUGAAAUCUCCGGGCUUAACUCGGAAAGGUCAGCCGAUACUGCGGGGCUAGAGUGCAGAAGGGGCAACUGGAAUUCUCGGUGUAGCGGUGAAAUGCGCAGAUAUCAGGAAGAACACCCGUGGCUAAGGCGGUUCUCUAGUACGGUACUGACGCUGAGACGCGAAAGCGUGGGGAGCGAACAGG
rnacentral:rRNA from 1 species